rnacentral:rRNA from 1 species
CCUACGGGAGGCAGCAGUGGGGAAUAUUGCGCAAUGGGCGAAAGCCUGACGCAGCGACGCCGCGUGAGGGAUGAAGGUCUUCGGAUCGUAAACCUCUGUCAGCAGGGAAGAACGGUCACUGUGCUAAUCAGCAAUGAAUUGACGGUACCUGCAAAGGAAGCACCGGCUAACUCCGUGCCAGCAGCCUCGGUAAUACGGAGGGUGCGAGCGUUAAUCGGAAUUACUGGGCGUAAAGCGCUCGUAGGCGGUAUGUCAAGUCAAGGGGUAAAUCCACGCGCUCAACGUGGGUACUGCCUUUGAAACUGGCAAACUGGAGUGUGUGAGAGGAUAGUGGAAUGCCAGGUGUAGGAGUGAAAUCCGUAGAUAUCUGGAGGAACAUCAGUGGCGAAGGCGACUAUCUGGCACAUAACUGACGCUGAGGAGCGAAAGCGUGGGUAGCAAACAGGAUUAGAUACCCGAGUAGUC